UCCAAUGUAGCAUCCAAUGUAGUAUCGAAUGUACAAAUUAUUCAUAACAAAUUAUUUUUAAGAAAAAGUAAUAAUUUUAAACCCCAUUCAGACCCUUCCCUAUUCUUCUGCCCAUCAGAAAUUACUUUUAACCAAAAUCUUCUCCUUUUUUUUGUUUGGUUUUUAGAUCUAAUUCUUCUGUAAUUUUAGAUGUGAUGUUUUCAUUUUUUGAUCUAAUAUUUUUUCGUAGAAGAGAGGAAGGGGGAUAGAAAAGAGAGUGGUGGCAGUGAUAGGUCUCCAUUUUUUCCGGCGAGCAAGGCGGUGGUGGUUAUCAAAAUCAAAGAAAAAGGAGCAGACGGUGAUGGUCGUUUUCAUAUUCGAAAAAGAUGAAUUAAGUAGUGAUGAUUGGAGUAGUGGCAGCAUAGGCAGUGAUGCUAGGAGAAGGUGGUGCUAUUGGUUCGGAAAAGAAGGAAGAAGAGGUGUGGUGGCAGCUGUAAUGGCAGAUCCACGGAUGAAAUGAUGGUAGUGGUGGAAGAGGUAGGUGGCUGAAGAAAAAG
rnacentral:lncRNA from 1 species